GAUCGGCCCGCGUCUGAUUAGCUAGUUGGUGGGGUAAUGGCCUACCAAGGCGACAAUCCGUAGCUGGUUUGAGUGAACGACCAGCCACACUGGGACUGAGACACGGCCCAAACUCCUACGGGAGGCAGCAGUGGGGAAUCUUGGACAAUGGGCGCAAGCCUGAUCCAGCCAUGCCGCGUGGAUGAUGAAGGCCUUAGGGUUGUAAAAUCCUUUCGUUGGGGACGAUAAUGACGGUACCCAAAGAAGAAGCUCCGGCUAACUUCGUGCCAGCAGCCGCGGUAAUACGAAGGGGGCUAGCGUUGUUCGGAUUUACUGGGCGUAAAGCGCGUGUAGGCGGGA
rnacentral:rRNA from 1 species